GCCGGGGUGGCGGAAUUGGCAGACGCAUCGGACUUAAAAUCCGGUGGGAAUUUAUUCCCCGUGUCGGUUCGAGCCCGACCCCCGGCACCA
rnacentral:tRNA from 1 species